CACGUAGGGGGCAAGCGUUGUCCGGAAUCAUUGGGCGUAAAGAGCGUGUAGGCGGCCUGGUAAGUCCGCUGUGAAAGUCCAGGGCUCAACCCUGGAAUGCCGGUGGAAACUGUCAGGCUCGAGUCCGGAAGAGGCGAGUGGAAUUCCUGGUGUAGCGGUGAAAUGCGCAGAUAUCAGGAGGAACACCAAUGGCGAAGGCAGCUCGCUGGGACGGUACUGACGCUGAGACGCGAAAGCGUGGGGAGCAAACAGG
rnacentral:rRNA from 1 species